rnacentral:rRNA from 1 species
AUGCGGCCCCCGAGCGCAGCGCGGCCUCUCCGCCACGGCCUCCGCCCCCGCCUCUCCACUUUCUUCUUCUUCAUUCCAUUCGCGCCUCCCGCCUCGCUACCGCCGCCUGAUGCGGUGCCCGAGCGCAGUGGCGCCUCCCCGCCAUGGCCGCCGCCCCUUGCAAGCCUGCGCCGCCGUGGCCGCCGCGUCGAGCGUCGCCAGCGGUGGAAGGCCGCGGGUGUUGGGGAACAUGGGGUAGGGCGCACCGGCCGGGUGGGCGGCGGCGACCAGCGGCACACGGUGGCGGACGGCGGCGCGCCUUGA